GGUCAGCUGGUGUGAGGACAGGAGUCUCAUCUUAGCAGACGCCUUGCUCCAACUACAAAGCUCCCUCUUGAAAGCUUUUCAGAGCUUGGUUGACUAUGGCUAACUGAAACCUCAGAAAGCAAAAUCGUGAGUCAGGGGGGAUGGUGGGAAACUCCUCCGCUGGUGUACAUGGCAAUAGAUGAAAGGAGAAGAAUGGCCAUGAAGUGACUGGGAGGGAUCCAUCUGGCUUCAAAACAUUCUUCACUUUCUGUAUAUAUUUGAAAAUAGCCGUAACAAAAUAUAGAAUAUGUCACUGUAUCAGGAAUUUUAUAUGUUGAGGAUACAUUUGAAAAGGCAGGAGGAAACUUAGUUUCAGGGUUAUGAGCACACGUCAGAAUGUGCAGUUUGUUUUAAGUCAAUUAUACCUCCAUUAAAACUAUUUAAUUAGAACUGCCAACUUCCUAAUCAUACUACAUUUUAUUACUUUGUCUUCUUGAAGUUAAUUUGCAGCUUUUCUGGCAGUAAGCCACUGCACUAGUGUUUCUCUUUAACUUACUUCAUGUAGGCUAAUGCUCACCAACUCUAUCCAUGUUGCUGUAAAUGGCAACAUUUUGUUCUUUCUAAAUGAUCCAGUGGUAUUCCAUUGUGUAUCCACCCAUUCAAGUAUUGAAGGACACUGUAGGCUGUUCCCAUGUCUUAGCAGUUGUAAGUGAAACUGCUGUGAACCCUGGGGUACCUGUAUCAUUUUGAAUUGGUGUUUUUAUUUUUUCAGAUGUAUGCCCAGGAGGGGAAUGCUGGGUCACAAAGUAGUUCUAUUUUUGUGUGUGUGUGGGGGGGAACCUCCAUUUUUUGUACACUAGCUGCACCAAUUAACAUUCUCACCAGUACUGCACGAGUGUUCCCUUUUCUCCACACUUGCUCCAGUGUUUGUUAUUUGUGUUCUUUCUGACAAUGGCCAUCCUGACUGGUGUGAGGCGAUAGCUCAGUGUGGUUUUGAUUGGUAUUUCCCUGGUGAUUAGCGAUGUUGGCCAUCUGCUUUUCCACUUUGAAAAGCAUGUCUGUUUCUUCUGCCCAUUUUUCUUUUUCUGGCUGCACCUGCAGAUGGAAUGAGCCACAGCUGCAUCAACACCAGAUCCUUAAACCACUGCCCUGGGCCAGAGAUCACUGCACCUCCAGUGACCUGAGCCACAUCAGUCAGAUUCUUAACCAUGGUGGGAACUCUCUACCCAUUUAAAAAAAAUUUUUUUGUAGUUCCUGUCGUGGCACAGCAGAAACGAAUCUGACGAAGAAUUAUGAGUUUGCAGGUUCUAUCUCUGGCCUUGCUCAGUGGGUUAAGGAUCCAGCGUUGCCGUGAGCUGUGGAGUAGGUCGCAGAUGCAGCUCGGAUCUGGCGUUGCUAUGGCUCUGGCGUAGGCGGGCGGGUACAGCUCCAAUUAGACCCCUAGCCUGGGAACAGGUGCAGCUCUAAAAAGAUAAAAGACAAAGACAAAACAAAAAAAUUAAUGUUUAGUCGCAUGAGCUUUGUGUGUGUGUUUAUGUAUAUAUAUAUAUGUUGGGAUAUUAACUCCUUAUCAGUCAUAUCAUUUGCAAACAUUUUCACCCAUUGAACCCGCCUCCUCAUGAAUGCUAGUCAGAUUCGUUUUUGCUGAGCCACAAUGGGAGCUCCAGAGUUUAGUUUUGUAUAUGGUGUCAGCAUUCUCAUUUUACCCUUUCAAAUGUAGCUGUCUAGUUUUCCCAGCACCACUUAUUGAAGAGACUGUGUUUUCUCCAUGGUGUAUUCUUGCCUCCUCUGUUGCAGAUUUAACUAACUAAAAGUGCAUGGCUUUAUCUCUGGGUUCUUUUCUGUUCCAUUUAUGUUUUUGUGCCAUUGUCAUACUGUUGUGAUUACUGUAGUUUUGCAGUAUUGUCUGAAGUCAGGGGUCACAAUUCCUACAGUUCCCUUCUUUCUCAAGAUUGUUUUGGCUACUCAGGGUCUUUUUUUUUUUCAUACAAAAUUUUAAAUUAUUUCUUCUGUGAAAAAUGCUGUUGGUAUUUUGAUAGGGACUGCAUUAAUUCUUCCAACCAAAGAACAUGGAAUAUCUGUCCAUCUGUUUCUGUCUUCAAUUUCUUUCAUCAGUGUCUUAAUGUAGGUUUAUUCGUAGGUAUUUUAUUCUUUUUUGUGCAGUGGUAAAUGGGAUUGCCUCACUGAUUUUCUUUUGGACAGGCUGUUGUAUGUGGAAGUGCAACACUUCUUCAGGUUCAUUUUGUACUCUGCAGUGAAAUGACAGAUAACCUCUAGCGCGUUUCUGGUGGCAUCUUUAGGAUUCCCUAGGUGUAAUACGCCAUCUGCAAACACUCAAGUUUUCUUCUUCCAUUUGGAUUCCCUUUGUUUCUUUUCCUUAUAUGACUGCUGAGGGUAGGACUAUGAAAAUUGCAUUGAAUUAAAGUGGUAAGAGUGGGCAUCCUUGUCUGGUUCCUGAUCUUAGAGAAAAUGCUUUUCGCCAAAUCCUGGGGUUGGUGCCAGACUCCUGGCAGGUAGAGCUGAGUCCAGGGGUCUGGCUGUAGGGCCCUGGGACCCCAGAGCUGGUGUUAGUGUCUCCGAUCACUGUGGUGGGGACGGAUAGGUGAAGUUUCUGACACAGUUGGGUAUGGGGUCUGGGAUAUUCCGAGGCUAGUGCUGGCCUGCCACUGGGUGAUCCCAGGGUAGGUUCUGACCUGCUGUGGACUCUCUGGAUCUGCAGGCUACAAGGUUGUGUUUUUGUGCAUCUGGUUUCUGCCUCUUGGUGGGAUAAGCUGGUCCAUAAGCUACUGCAGCCUUCCGGGAGGGCAGGUCUGAGCUCUCAAGGGCAGGGCUGUGGCUAGAGUUGUGUGCAGAGGCAGCUGUGGACUCAGGAAGUCUCGUAGCAGUCUGUCUCUAGGUGACAGAGCCCCAGCCAAGUGUUUGGCCUGAGGCAUCCCACCCACAGGCGGUUAUGUGGGGCCAGGUCUCGGUACUGUGAGCUAGAGGGAGAAUCUCAUGAUGGUGACCCCAGCGGCAGAGCCUGAAUGCUAGAAAGCUCUGAAAUACGGUGAACACACAUGGGCAUGUCCUCAAGGUGAGCAGCAGCCACCCUCUAACGCUCCAGGAGACUAAGAUGAGCAGGUAGGUCUGGCCCACGCUCCUAUAAAAUUACUGCUUUUUCUGUGGGUCUGUCUUCGUGUGUCCUUUAAGAGUGACGUUUCUAUUUCCCAAGUCCUUUGGGACACUUUUUUUGGUCUUUUUGUCUUUUCUAGGGCCACACUUGCAGCAUAUGCAGGUGCCCAGGCUAGGGGUCUAAUCAGAGCUGUAGCCACUGGCCUAUGCCAGAGCCACAGCAACAUAGGGUCCAAGCCACAUCUGCAACCUACAGCACAGCUCACGGCAACACCAGAUCCUUAACCCACUGAGCAAGGCCAGGGAUUGAACCUACAUCCUCAUGGAUACUAGUUGGGUUCGAGACCCUCCUCCCUUUGGGACACCUGAAUUAAGCCCCACUGGUCUUGAAAGCCAAUGAUUCAGGGGCUCAUCAUCCCAGUGCAGGAACCCCAGGCUGGGUAGACUAAUGUGGGGCUCAGAAUUCUGUCUUGUGUGAGCCCCUCUGCAACAUAAUUAUGCUUCAACGGGUGGGUUGCUCACCCAUCGGCAAUGCAAGCCCAUCCUCCUUCCUGUCGACCUGUGGGUCCUUUGUGUCUUUAGAUACGGAAGAUGUUUUUAGUGCUUUCCAGGCUUUUUCACAGAUGGUUUUUCUGCAGAUAGUUGUAAUUUCAGGGUGCUCCUGAGAGUAGGUGAACUCAGGGUCUUUCUGCUCCACCGUCUUGGCCAAUGCUCCCAUACUGACAGUUUUAAAUUGGCUGUGGUGGGUGUGUCAUGUCAUCGAAAAUGACAAACAUUACAAACCAUGGCUUGAUUUACUGUAUUGUUGAGUAUCUAGAUUCAAGAAAAGCGACUGAGAAUAUUUUACAUAAAAAAUAGAAAAUAAACUUUAAAAUGUUCAGGGAGUUAUUGGUGGGUCAGCAGGUUAAGAACCCCGCUAGUAUCCAUGAGGACACGGGUUCCAUCCCUGGCCUCACUCAGUGGGUUAAGGAUCCGGCAUUGCCGUGAGCUGUGGUGUAGGUCCCAGAUGCAGCUCGGAUUCCGUGUUGCUGUGGCUGUGGUGAAGGCUGGCAGCUGUAGUUCCAAUUAGAUCCCCCACCCAGAAACUUCCAUGUGCUGGGGGUACAGCCCUAAAAAUCAAAACAAAAUUUAGAAACUUUAACAACUUCAUGAAACAUCAGUGAAAGGCAACUAAAACUAUAGUGAGGAUAAUGCUAUAAAAUUAUUUAAGGAGUUCCCAUUGUGGCCCAGCGGUUAACAAACCCAAAUAGCAUCUACAGGGAUGCAGGUUCGAUCCCUGGCCUCACUCAGUUGGGUUAAGGAUCUGUUGUUGCCGUGAGCUAUGUGUAGGUCGCAGACGUGGCUCAGAUCCUGCGUUGCUGUGGCUGUGGUGUAGGCCAGAGGCCACGGCUCUAAUUAGACCCCUAGCCUGAGAACCUGCAUAAUUUAAAAAAUUAAAAAUAAAAACAAAAAUUUUAAAAGGGGGGUUCCUGCUGUGGCGCAGUGGGUUAAGCUCAGGUCACUGUAAAGGUUCAGGUUUGACCUUUGGCCUGGCACAGUGGGCUGAAGGAUCCAGUGUUGCCACAGCUGGGGCUCAGCUUUAAUCCCUGCCGGAGACUGCCAUAUGCAACAAGCGAAGCCAUUAAAAACAAACAAAAAAAUCAUGUAAAAGCCUCAGAAGUUAAAAGGACUCAUCACACCCACUAUUGCCAAGGAUGUGAAAGAACUGAAACUCCCACACUGCUAGUAAAGUUGACUUAGAUCAGUUUGACAUUUCUUAAAAAGUUAUAUACUUAUCUCCUCUGUUAGAUAUUAGAACCCAUGAUGUUAACACAGAAUAAAUGAAAGACAUAUGAGAAAUUACAUUUUUCAUGUAGUGGUUUUAGAUUUUUUUUUUUUUUUUGCUUUUUAGGGCCACACCCACGGCAUAAGGAAGUUCCCAGGCUAGGGAUCUAAUUAGAGCUACAGCUGCUGGCCUGUGCCAUGGUCACAGCCACACAGGAUACAAGCUGCAUCUGCGACCUAUACCACAGCUCAGGGCAACACCGGAUCCCCAACCCACUGAGUAAGGCCAGGGAUCAAACCCGCAUCCUCAUAGAUACUAGUCAGAUUUGUUUCCACUGCACCACAGGGGAACUCCCUAUGUAGGAGUUUUAUUCCCAGCAGCCUAAACUUAGAUGUCCUUAAGCAGAACAAAGAUGGUGUAUCCACAGAACAUCAUACUUUUCAGCUUUAUGAAAAGCAUCUUCGUAUAAGCAUCAUGUAAGGACUAUUCAUAUUCAUGUACACAUCCUUAAUGAAUCUUUUUUUUUUUUUUUUUUUUUUUUUUCUUUUUGUCUUUUUGCCAUUUCUUGGGCCGCUCCCGCGGCAUAUGGAGGUUCCCAGGCUAGGGGUUGAAUCGGAGCUGUAGCCACUGGCCUACACCACAGCCACAGCAACACAGAUCCAAGCUGCACCUGCGACCUACACUGCAGCUCAUGGCAACACUGGAUCCUUAACCCACAGAGCUGGGCCAGGGAUACUAGUCGGAUUCGUUAAGCACUGCGCCACAACGGGAACUCCCUUAAUGAAUCUUAAAGACAGUGCAUGUGGGUAGCCCGGGGGGAAGAAGGAGUUAACACUCUAUGACUUCAAUCAUAAAACUCUAGACAGUGCAGCCUUAUUUCUACUGUAAAGGAAACUAAAUCUGCGGCUGACUAGAGGGGAGAAGAAAGGAGAUUAUAAAGUCUACAAAGUAUCCAAAAUAUACAAACAGCUCCCAUAACUCAGUAUCAAACAAAAACCAAUCAAAAAAUGGGCAGAAGACCUAAAGAGACAUUUCUCCAAGGUAGACAGACAGAUGGCCAGCAGGCACAUGAAAAGAUGCUCAGGAUUACUAAUUAUGCUCCAAAUCAAAACUACCCCUCUCCAGUCAGCAUGGCCAUCAUCAAAAGUCUACAUACAGUAAUUGCCAGAGAAGGUGCGGAGAAAAGGAAAGUCCAGCCACUAUGGAAAACAGUAUGGAAAAGACAUACCGUGUCCACAGUGGCACUCUUUACAAUUCCCGAGACAUGGACGCAUCUGUGGUCCAUUAACAGAUGCACGGGUGAGGAAGAGGUGAUGUGUAUACAUACAUGUAUACGCCAUAGAGUGUGUAUAUACUUAAUAUCCACACACACACACACACACACGUGUACGUAUUCAAUAGACGACAACUCCACCAGAGAAAGUCAUGAAAUACAGCCACCUGCAGCAUCAUGGAUGGACCCAGAAAAUAUACUAGGUGAGGUGGGUCAAAAAAAGACAAGUGUGUGCUGUGUAUUAUACGUGGAGUCUUAAAAAUAACAGCAUGUGGAGUUCCCAUCGUGGCGCAGUGGUUAACGAAUCCGACUAGGAACCAUGAGGUUGCGGGUUUGGUCCCUGCCCUUGCUCAGUGGGUUAACAAUCUGGCGUUGCCGUGAGCUGUGGUGUAGGUUGCAGACGCGGCUCGGAUCCAGCAUUGCUGUGGCUCUGGCGUAGGCUGGCGGCUACAGCUCCGAUUCGACCCCUAGCCUGGGAACCUCCAUAUGCCGCGGGAGCGGCCCAAGAAAUAGCAAAAAGACAACAACAACAAAAAUAACAGCAUGUGAAUCCACUUACAGAACAGAAUCACUCUCAGACACGGAAACAAACUUGUGGUUACCACAGGGGAAGGGAGAGAAGGGGAAACAGGAGUGCGGAUAACCAACUACUAACUUGAUAAAGGUUUGCUGCACAGCGCAGCAACUAUAUUCAGUAUCUUGUAAUAACCUGCAAUGGAACAAAAUCAAAAAUAUGGAAUCACCUUGCAGUUAUACAGUCACCUGUAUACCUAAAACUAACACGAUACUGGAAAUCAGCCAUCUUUCAGUGAUUAAAAAUAAACGCAAGGUAGACAUGGGGUCAUGAAGAGAUUCGUUGUGUGAUCCAGACUUCAUGAGUUUAUGUAAAUGUCGGAACCUACCACACUAAUGUUCACUGCACGUCAUUUAUACCUUCUCGAAGCUUUAAAACCUGGAAUUCCUUAUUUUUCCUGGAAAUGAGAUUUGGUGACACUAAUGCUGACAUACCCUUCUCUCUCCAGUCAGGGCCUCCCUCUCGCCUCAGGGGCAGCAAGUCCUGGGGAGCAGCGGAGGCUGUUCCCAGCUGUGCCAUGUAAAUGCAGGCCGGACUAAGCUCUCCCUCCUUCUCCUGCACACCUCCUGUAAAGCACUGGUCCUGAGGGGAAGAGCCAGAGCCAGACAGGCUGCAGUGACCCACAGUGUCUUUGGCUGAUGUCCACUGAGGAGGCCUGCAGUGACCCAGGACACAGGCCUGAGGACUGUGAGAAGUUCUGUACCUGCUCAUCCUUCCCAGCCACAGUGGCGGGUCAGGCGGAUGCUGUCCUGAGAGGCACGUGCCCAGCAGUCGGUUGCAGCGUCCUGCCCCCUCGUCCUGUGAGUCCAGCGUGUCUGGAAUGAGGAUGAUCCCUCAACAGUUGUGCACAGCAGGCUCCACGGCUCCUCUGCAGGACCUGGGAAGAGACUGCCCUCGUUCGUCCUGAGCACAAUGCCACAUCCCUGUGAACAAGACAACUUCAUGGUGCUCCAGAAGUGACAGGGUUGUCACAAGUCUCCCCUCCACAAGCUGACCUCUGAACCCGCCAAAGAGCAUGGCAGUCAGCCUACAAAGGAGGCUUUAGGCAGCGAUGGAAACCAGGCCGAAAGCGGAGAGAGAACCAUAAUUUCCGAGCCAUCGCACUGUCCUCUCUGAGGCACACAAAACCCAGUCAUCCCUAUUUACCAACCACUCAAUACAAAGCAUUCCCACACUUAAAUGGGAGGGCCUGCCUUCAUCAUCACGAAAACCAGGGUAAUGGGAGGCAGGCUGUCCUCAGGUUCACGACUGGAAAACGGAAAAUCCAACACAGAGAUCGUGGUGUCAGCGGCACUCUAGACAAAGGUCGUGCAUCUUUUCAAGUCGCCGCAGAAUCCUCCCAGUCAGAAGUGGCCCCAGUCCACACUGCCUGAGGCAUCAGAGACGGGACUGAGUGGUCCGGCGUUUCAUAAAGCCCUCCCCUGAGGCAGAACACCGCCCUUUACCUUCCUGGACACGAUGGGGGAGCGGGGGUGAGUGGCGCACACUGUGGGCACCAAAGACAGACGUGAAAGGGUUUUGCUACAGAACUGCAGUGACAUAAAUCUGGUGCCAACUCUAGGCAUUUAAAGGAAAAAUGCAGCUCCCACAGAUCUGGAAUUAAUACAGAUUUUCAUAUGUUUGAGGUUCAACUGAGGCAGAUGACACCCUCACGAGGCAUCUCCCUUAGUGUUCAACUGCAGAAUCCAAACAGCCCUCUGGGGAGUUCCCGUCGUGGAACAAUGGAAACAAAUCCGACUAGGAACCCUGAGGUUGCGGGUCUGAUCCCCGGCCUCGCACAGUGGGUUAAGGAUCUGGCGUUGCCGUGAGCUGUGGUGUAGGUCGCAGAUGCGGCUCAGAUCCUGUGUUGCUGUGGCUGUGGUGUAGGCCGGCAGCUGUACCUCCAAUUCGACCCCACGCCUGGGAACCUCCAUAUGCCACAGGCGCAGCCCUAAAAAAAGCAAAAAAAAGUAAAAAAAACAAACAAAACAAAAAAACAGUCCUCUGGGGAGAAUGGGGUAUGUCUCUGUGUGUGCUUGUAUAUAUACACACAUAUAUAUGUAUAAAAUUAAAAACAUUCAAAAGAUCAU
rnacentral:lncRNA from 1 species